CACGGAGGAUGCGAGCGUUAUCCGGAUUUAUUGGGUUUAAAGGGUGCGUAGGCGGACGCUUAAGUCAGCGGUAAAAUUGCGGGGCUCAACCUCGUCGAGCCGUUGAAACUGGGUGUCUUGAGUGGGCGAGAAGUACGCGGAAUGCGUGGUGUAGCGGUGAAAUGCAUAGAUAUCACGCAGAACUCCGAUUGCGAAGGCAGCGUACCGGCGCCCAACUGACGCUGAAGCACGAAGGCGUGGGUAUCGAACAGG
rnacentral:rRNA from 1 species